rnacentral:misc_RNA from 1 species
UACAGAGGUGGCAAGCGUUGUUCGGAAUUACUGGGCGUAAAGGGCGCGUAGGCGGUUCCGCAAGUCCUGUGUGAAAUCCCCCGGCUCAACUGGGGAACUGCACAGGAAACUGCGGGGCUUGAGUUCGGGAGAGGGAAGCGGAAUUCCGGGUGUAGCGGUGAAAUGCGUAGAUAUCCGGAGGAACACCGGUGGCGAAGGCGGCUUCCUGGACCGAUACUGACGCUGAGGCGCGAAAGCUAGGGGAGCAAACGGG